CCAAUAGCGUAUAUUAAAGUUGUUGCAGUUAAAAAGCUCGUAGUUGAAUUUCGGGAUUGACACAUCGGUCGUGCCUUACGGGGUAUGAACUGUUGUAGUCAAUUUCUCACCUUCUGGAGAACCGCGAUGCCCUUAAUUGGGUGUCACGGGGAACCAGGACCUUUACUUUGAAAAAAUUAGAGUGUUUAAAGCAGGCAUUUUGCUUGAAUACAUUAGCAUGGAAUAAUAAAAUAGGACGGCAUGAUUCUAUUUUGUUGGUUUCUAGGAUCACCGUAAUGAUUAAUAGGGAUAGUUGGGGGCAUUAGUAUUCAAUUGUCAGAGGUGAAAUUCUUGGAUUUAUUGAAGACUAACUACUGCGAAAGCAUUUGCCAAGGAUGUUUUCAUUAACCAAGAACGAAAGUUAGGGGAUCGAAGACGAUCAGAUACCGUCGUAGUCUUAACCAUAAACUAUGCCGACUAGGAAUCAGACGAUGUUAAUUUUUUAAUGACUCGUUUGGCACCUUACG
rnacentral:rRNA from 1 species